ACAAGUGACCCUUUUAUUAGGAGGAGCAUUAGCAUGUUAUGGACUCGUAUUAUUCUUGAAAAUGAGGAAAGUAAGAUCUGAAAGAGCUUCUUCUGAAAUGCGGAAGGUUGCAGGCUUGGCAAUUGUGUCUGUUCUAUGUUUUACUUCAAGUGCUUUGGUUGCUCUUUUUACUGAUAUACCCGUAUAUACU